AAAGAAACCAACCGGGAUUGCCUCAGUAACGGCGAGUGAAGCGGCAAGAGCUCAAAUUUGAAAUCUGGCCCCCUCGGGGUCCGAGUUGUAAUUUGCAGAGGAUGCUUCGGGUGCGGCCCCCGUCUAAGUGCCCUGGAACGGGCCGUCAUAGAGGGUGAGAAUCCCGUCUGGGACGGGGUGUCCGUGCCCGUGUGAAGCUCCUUCGACGAGUCGAGUUGUUUGGGAAUGCAGCUCUAAAUGGGUGGUAAAUUUCAUCUAAAGCUAAAUACUGGCCGGAGACCGAUAGCGCACAAGUAGAGUGAUCGAAAGAUGAAAAGCACUUUGAAAAGAGAGUUAAAUAGCACGUGAAAUUGUUGAAAGGGAAGCGCUUGCGACCAGACUCGCCCGCGGGGUUCAGCCGGCAUUCGUGCCGGUGUACUUCCCCGUGGGCGGGCCAGCGUCGGUUUGGGCGGCCGGUCAAAGGCCCCCGGAAUGUAGUGCCCUUCGGGGCACCUUAUAGCCGGGGGUGCAAUGCGGCCAGCCUGGACCGAGGAACGCGCUUCGGCACGGACGCUGGCAUAAUGGUUGCAAACGAC
rnacentral:rRNA from 2 species